rnacentral:rRNA from 1 species
CCUACGGGUGGCAGCAGUGAGGAAUAUUGGUCAAUGGGCGGAAGCCUGAACCAGCCAAGUAGCGUGCAGGAUGACGGCCCUACGGGUUGUAAACUGCUUUUAUACGGGAAUAACGCGCCUUACGUGUAGGGCUUUGCAUGUACCGUAUGAAUAAGGACCGGCUAAUUCCGUGCCAGCAGCCGCGGUAAUACGGAAGGUCCGGGCGUUAUCCGGAUUUAUUGGGUUUAAAGGGAGCGUAGGCCGCAUGUCAAGCGUGCUGUGAAAUGUCCGGGCUCAACCCGGGCCUUGCAGCGCGAACUGGCGUGCGUGAGUCCGCGGAAAGCAGGCGGAAUUCGUCGUGUAGCGGUGAAAUGCUUAGAUAUCGCGCAGAACUCCGAUUGCGAAGGCAGCGUACCGGCGCCAGACUGACGCUGAGGCACGAAAGCGUGGGGAUCGAACAGGAUUAGAUACCCUGGUAGUC